rnacentral:rRNA from 1 species
UACGGAGGAUGCGAGCGUUAUCCGGAUUUAUUGGGUUUAAAGGGUGCGUAGGCGGCCUUGUAAGUCAGCGGUGAAAUUUUGCAGCUUAACUGUAAAAGUGCCGUUGAUACUGGGGAGCUAGGAUUUGGUUGCUGUGGGUGGAAUGUGUGGUGUAGCGGUGAAAUGCUUAGAGAUCACACAGAAUAUCGAUUGCGAAGGCAGCUUACUAGGCCAUAACUGACGCUCAGGCACGAAGGCGUGGGGAUCAAACAGGAUUAGA